rnacentral:rRNA from 1 species
UGGGGAAUAUUGGACAAUGGGCGCAAGCCUGAUCCAGCCAUGCCGCGUGAGUGAUGAAGGCCCUAGGGUUGUAAAGCUCUUUUGUGCGGGAAGAUAAUGGCUGUACCGCAAGAAUAAGCCCCGGCUAACUUCGUGCCAGCAGCCGCGGUAAUACGAAGGGGGCUAGCGUUGCUCGGAAUCACUGGGCGUAAAGGGUGCGUAGGCGGGUCUUUAAGUCAGGGGUGAAAUCCUGGAGCUCAACUCCAGAACUGCCUUUGAUACUGAGGAUCUUGAGUUCGGGAGAGGUGAGUGGAACUGCGAGUGUAGAGGUGAAAUUCGUAGAUAUUCGCAAGAACACCAGUGGCGAAGGCGGCUCACUGGCCCGAUACUGACGCUGAGGCACGAAAGCGUGGGGAGCAAACAGGAUUAGAUACCCUGGUAGUCCACGCCGUAAAACGAUGAAUGCCAGCCGUUGGGGAGUUUACUCUUCAGUGGCGCAGCUAACGCUUUAAGCAUUCCGCCUGGGGAGUACGGUCGCAAGAUU